rnacentral:lncRNA from 1 species
CAGAGUUACGCAGUUAAUUAAUGACUACUUCAGUGAGUCAUUACUGUCCAGAAGAGCAUCAGUCUGCGGAUCCGGUUGCUGGUUCAAUUACCAGCCAUAACAGAAGAUUAGUGCGUCUUUGGCAAACCGCGUAACCCCACCUUACCUCCGCUGCGCUCAUCUCUGUGUGAAGGAGACCGUGUUUUGGAUCAAAGCCUCCGCUGCCUAAAUGGAAGUGGGAUGAGGAACAUCACACAUGAAUAGUUUGCUUGUGCAGCUUUGAUAAUUCCCGCAGACAGCGGAGGGAAUCCCUCGCCUCGUCAAAAGUUGUAAAAACUCAGAGGAGGGCGCGCGGUGUCCAGCUGCGGGUGCCUGGAUGGGGAGGAGGUGCUGCUUCAGUUUGGGGACCAGAUGUGUGAGAGAAGAGGGGUACAGCGUUGCAGACAGCGGCGGCACGGUCCAAAACACUUCUUCAAACCCAAACCGGGAUGUGACAGCUCAGACUCGGGCGAAUCCGGCUGGUUCGAUCGUCUGUGUGUACUACACUUCUGAGGAGAUUGGACCAUUGUGGUUGUGCUGCACAGUUUGACCUUUGACCUGAAGAGUGUAACAAGCGCCACGUGAAGAAGACUACAGGUUGAGGAGUGAGGGAAGGGGAGCUGCAGAUCAAGGAGAGGAGAGACUGCCACCCACCUCACCUCACACACUGGAAUUUGGAGUCACUGCGCAGCCCACAGAGGUGAGCUGAGGAGAGAAUAUUCUUCCUUUUUUUUUUUUAAG